UACGUAGGGUGCGAGCGUUAAUCGGAAUUACUGGGCGUAAAGCGUGCGCAGGCGGUUGUGCAAGACAGAUUUGAAAUCCCCGGGCUUAACCUGGGAACUGCAUUUGUGACUGCACGGCUAGAGUGUGUCAGAGGGGGGUAGAAUUCCACGUGUAGCAGUGAAAUGCGUAGAUAUGUGGAGGAAUACCGAUGGCGAAGGCAGCCCCCUGGGAUAACACUGACGCUCAUGCACGAAAGCGUGGGGAUCAAACAGG
rnacentral:rRNA from 1 species